UACGUAGGGUGCGAGCGUUGUCCGGAAUUAUUGGGCGUAAAGAGCUCGUAGGCGGUGUGUCGCGUCGGUCGUGAAAACUUUCAGCUUAACUGGGAGCUUGCGGUCGAUACGGGCAUCACUGGAGUUCGGCAGGGGAGACUGGAAUUCCUGGUGUAGCGGUGAAAUGCGCAGAUAUCAGGAGGAACACCGGUGGCGAAGGCGGGUCUCUGGGCCGAUACUGACGCUGAGGAGCGAAAGUGUGGGGAGCGAACAGG
rnacentral:rRNA from 1 species